rnacentral:rRNA from 1 species
GAUGAACGCUGGCGGCGUGCUUAACACAUGCAAGUCGAACGAAGCACUGUUUAACUUUCGGGUUAAACAGUGACUUAGUGGCGGACGGGUGAGUAACGCGUGGGUAACCUGCCUUAUACAGGGGGAUAACAGCUGGAAACGGCUGCUAACACCGCAUAAGCGCAAAGUGGCGCAUGACACAGUGUGAAAAUAUUAAUAGGUAUAAGAUGGACCCGCGUCUGAUUAGCUAGUUGGUGAGGUAAUGGCCCACCAAGGCGACGAUCAGUAGCCGGCUUGAGAGAGUGAACGGCCACAUUGGGACUGAGACACGGCCCAAACUCCUACGGGAGGCAGCAGUGGGGAAUAUUGCACAAUGGGGGAAACCCUGAUGCAGCGACGCCGCGUGAGUGAAGAAGUAUUUCGGUAUGUAAAGCUCUAUCAGCAGGGACGAUAAUGACGGUACCUGACUAAGAAGCCCCGGCUAACUACGUGCCAGCCGCCGCCGUAACAC